UUGUCUCUCGCGCCCCCUUGCCUGGACGAUCGCUCACCCCCGGCGCUGGUUCGGCCUCCCACCCGCCAACCCCGUUUCCUUCAGGACUGAAGGGAGGCGGGAAUGGGCUGGGGUCGGACGUGAACGGCCAAUGGGAGUGCGGAGAGAGAGCCGUUUAAUUCUCAGGUGCAGUUGAAAAAUUAUGAGAAUGUAGUGGUAAAAUGUUGCCUUCCCUAUGGUUUCUGAUGGCAAGGCUGGGAAUUGAAUGGCUAGUACACUGAGAGAUCCUGGGACAUCUGACAAAAAGCCAUCAGAAGAGAGAAAGAAGAUAUUUGGAUCUGUUAGUAAUCAUAUCCUUUGACAAAUUAAAAAUAAUUGUGCUAUAAAAAGGCAUAUAUAUCUAAAAAUUAUAUAUUUGUAUAAUUAUAUAUUCAUAAAUUUACUAAUUUAAUACAGGAUGCUAAUAUAUGACAGUUUACAAUUGCUUCCUAAUUUUCACUAGAAAAUAAAGGUUACUUAUGGUUAAAAUUUAUAAUCUGUAUAUAAAAAUACAACUACUAAAAAUGAUAACAGAAAAGGAAAAUAACUUGGUAUACAAACUAUGGGAGAAAAAUGGGAUGUGUUUUAUAGAAGAAUAUACAAGGAAUGUAGAGGAUGAUUUUUGGUAAGGAAAAAAGAGUAAUUUUGUCCUAAAGUAAAAUGACUAAAUGUUCCAGAAUGAGAAAAAGAAGAGGAAUGAGACAAAAUCUAACUGGAUAAAGAAAAUUGCAGAAUAUUUGUAGAAAAUAAAUUUUAUGUUGCAAGGUCAAAGCUGGCUAAAUGAGCUCAAUAAUGUACUGACAUAAAACUAGAGUUUAAUUUUCCAUUAAAAUGACAGUUUCUUAGAUUAUUGGUCUACUCUCAAUAAGAGAUUAUUAAAGUUUUCUGUUACCUUUUGUGUGAUCUACCAGGGAAACAAAGAUUCUGUGUCUUAUCAAAAUAAUUUCCUGUGCUUCCUAUUGUCUUUAACAGGUUUUUAAUAACUGAGGAAAAUGGAGUCUUCAAUAUUAAUGAAGCUGAGGGUUUUUUAAAUAACAAUAUAACUCUCUGUAUUUGCCUUUAAAAUCUUUUGUCACUUUGAUUAAUUAGAUGGAUAACUAAGUAUUGUUUCACAGUGACCUAUAUACUGCUUGUUUCACAGUGACCUUAAAUUGAUUUAAGUUAUUACUUAAACAAGUGUUUUAACCUUUUGACAUUUUUGACAAAGUUCCCAAAAUCAAAUUCAAAAUGAAGUCUUUUGACUUUGAACUAACUCUGGCAUUUUCCAGAGGGUUCCUGAAAAUCUCAAAAGAUUUGUUCUCUUUCCUUAUAAAAUGAGAGACGUUAAAUUUAUUAGCUUAUUUGAUUUGUUAAAUUACAUGGGAAACGUUGUCAAAUGAAAGUGAUGAUUAACUUUCUUUAGGCUAUAUUUGUAUGUGUAUAUAUUAUCAACAUUUUAAAUAUUGUAAAAAAUUCCAGGAAAUUGUCAAUGCCUGAUUGUCCAUAUAAUCUGUCAUAAUUCCAAUUAUUACUUGAAAGCAUUGUAUGUCACAGAAAUAAUCGAAUAUCCUUAUGAAUUAUAUUGUAUUUUAUACUUAAUUUCCCCAGAUCUUUAACCUUGGCUAUUUUUAAGUUUUUUGUCAUUCAUGAGCAAUUACUGUUUUACUCUUGGUUCUUCUCUGGAAACAUUUACAACCAACUAUAGGCAAAAAUGCUUCAUCUUCAAGGAUCCAAAGAAAAGAACAUGACAAUUGCUGUAUAAUAUAGGUUUCUGAUCAUUCUAAGAUCACAUCAGUAAACUGGAGAAGAAUUUCUAGAAUUCUAAUGAAGAAACUGAUUGAUUCAUAAAACUGCUAACUUGAGAUCAAGCAAACAAAAAGUAGUUAGGUGGGACUUAAUGAACUAAUAAGGAGGAUGAUUAUAAUUUUAUGGCUUUUUGUUUAUAGCACUACUGGUCCUUUAAAGUUUUGUUUUGCAGAUUUAAGAAAACUCUUUUUCUCCUCUUAAGCUAUGUAAUUUACAACAAUUUGAUAGAUUAUACUUUGGUAAAUAAAAAUUAAAACACCUUUUUCUCUCUUCCUGAUCCCUCCAGAGUUUGGAAACUCUUCAUAUUCUCAUUCAGGGCGGUACAGUUGUUUGCAUAAGUACAGGAAGAAUCUGUUCUCUUUAGAACAAAACUGGAAACAUUGGUUAUAUUAUCAAGACUUUGACUGUAAUGUCAUAUUUGGCAAUGAUGUACAUAGACUCAAAUGUGACUGGGCAGAUUUAAGUAACUAAAGUUGAAUUUAUGGAGCCAAUUUAUAAAGCCCCUUGAAAUACCAGUAUGAUACCUUGCUUACAAGGUUCCCAGCCCUACAAAUGAGUAAGGCAUGAUACUUCCUGGAAAGCCCAAGAAACUUAAGAUAUAUUGAGUACCUCCAGAAAAGAGGGGCUCACCCAAUUCUAUGGGUGUGACAGGCUAAGUCUGAUGAUGAAUAUUUGACUUGGCUCCUUAGCCUUGAAAGGGUUUUAAAGGCUCUAUGAUUCCUUGUUUGAAGUUCUAACAAUGCGUUUUUAAAAGCACAUUAUGAUCUAUCUCUAGUCUUACAAAAUAACAUAUAAAU